rnacentral:rRNA from 1 species
AGCGAACGCUGGCGGCAGGCCUAAUACAUGCAAGUCGAGCGCACCUUCGGGUGAGCGGCGGACGGGUGAGUAACGCGUGGGAACGUGCCCUUUGGUACGGGAUAACUGAGGGAAACUUCAGCUAAUACCGUAUGUGCCCUACGGGGGAAAGAUUUAUCGCCAUUGGAGCGGCCCGCGUUGGAUUAGGUAGUUGGUGAGGUAAAGGCUCACCAAGCCUACGAUCCAUAGCUGGUCUGGGAGGAUGAUCAGCCACACUGGGACUGAGACACGGCCCAGACUCCUACGGGAGGCAGCAGUAGGGAAUCUUGCGCAAUGGGCGAAAGCCUGACGCAGCCAUGCCGCGUGAAUGAUGAAGGUCUUAGGAUUGUAAAAUUCUUUCACCGGGGAAGAUAAUGACGGUACCCGGAGAAGAAGCCCCGGCUAACUUCGUGCCAGCCGCCGCUGUAAUAC